rnacentral:tRNA from 1 species
CAGGGAGACAACAAAAUGUUUAAUAUUAUUAUUUUGUCACCUUAGGUCGAUCGGUAUCUCACGUUCUUAAUUUAUUAAGAAUUUCAUUUCCUAAGUUUUUCUAGGUCACACCCAUUAUUUUUCCUGGGCCAUUAGCCCAGGUGGUUAGAGCGCACCCCUGAUAAGGGUGAGGUCCCUGGUUCAAGUCCAGGAUGGCCCAUAUCUCUAUGUUGGGGGUAUAGCUCAGUUGGUAGAGCGCCUGCUUUGCAAGCAGGAUGUCAGCGGUUCGAGUCCGCUUACCUCCACUGAUUACCACCUCUUCCAUAAUCGGUAGAAAGGAAAUGUUUUGAGUUGUGAUCAAAUUCUGAACGAAUCUAGCUUCCUAAUGAAAUUAUUAAGAUGCUGGACUCAUUGAAUUAAUUUCAUUGUUUUCAGAGAACCUUGACAACUGCAUAGAUUAUUUUUAAAGACAAUAAGCAUCUUUAAUGAUGCAGAUUUAUUAUUUGUGCGAAUGCAUUAAUAACAAUUCUAUUAAGCUGAUGCUUCAAUUAUGAAGUUAUU